AGUAUGGGUGUAAACGAGCCGACCACGAGCGAGCUGGGACCGGCUCGUGUUCAGCGCUCUCAGCUCGCUCGUGUUCGGCUCGUUUACGAAACGAGCCGAACACGAGCUGGCUCAUUAUGAGCUCGCUAACGAACAAUNAAUAUAUAUAAAAAAUAAAUUUAUAAAAUUUUAUUCAUUAAAUUUUGAUCUAAUAGUAAAAAUUUUACAUAUAAAUGAAUCUUUUUAUAAUUAAGCUCGCCUUUUAUUUUUAUUUUACUAAAAAUUAAAUAAUAAAAAUAUAUAUUAUAUAUAUAAUUAUUUAUUUAUAUAUAUAAAUACAAAUUAUAUAAAUUAUAUAAAUAUAAAAUAUUUGUAUUCGAGUUGUUAUCGAACCGCUCGUGUUCGGCACAUUUAUUAAACGAGCCGAAAAAUUCAGUUUCGGCUUGUUUACUAAACGAGCGAUUCGAUCUCGAGCUCAUUUCAAACCGAACACAAGCUGUGAGCUGAAUUGCACCCCUA
rnacentral:lncRNA from 1 species